CGGAAUAACAGUUAGAAAUGACUGCUAAUACCGGAUAAUGUCUUCGGACCAAAGAUUUAUCGCCUUUGGAUGGGCCCGCGUUGGAUUAGAUAGUUGGUGGGGUAAUGGCCUACCAAGUCGACGAUCCAUAGCUGGUCUGAGAGGAUGAUCAGCCACACUGGGACUGAGACACGGCCCAGACUCCUACGGGAGGCAGCAGUGGGGAAUAUUGGACAAUGGGCGAAAGCCUGAUCCAGCAAUGCCGCGUGAGUGAUGAAGGCCUUAGGGUUGUAAAGCUCUUUUACCAGGGAUGAUAAUGACAGUACCUGGAGAAUAAGCUCCGGCUAACUCCGUGCCAGCAGCCGCGGUAAUACGGAGGGAGCUAGCGUUGUUCGGAAUUACUGGGCGUAAAGCGCACGUAGGCGGCUUUUCAAGUCAGGGGUGAAAUCCCGGGGCUCAACCCCGGAACUGCCCUUGAAACUGGAUGGCUAGAAUACUGGAGAGGUGAGUGGAAUUCCGAGU
rnacentral:rRNA from 1 species